GACGAACGCUGGCGGCGUGCUUAACACAUGCAAGUCGAACGGAAAGGCCCUGCUUUUGUGGGGUGCUCGAGUGGCGAACGGGUGAGUAACACGUGAGUAACCUGCCCUUGACUUUGGGAUAACUUCAGGAAACUGGGGCUAAUACCGGAUAGGAGCUCCUGCUGCAUGGAGGGGGUUGGAAAGUUUCGGCGGUUGGGGAUGGACUCGCGGCUUAUCAGCUUGUUGGUGGGGUAGUGGCUUACCAAGGCUUUGACGGGUAGCCGGCCUGAGAGGGUGACCGGCCACAUUGGGACUGAGAUACGGCCCAGACUCCUACGGGAGGCAGCAGUGGGGAAUAUUGCACAAUGGGCGGAAGCCUGAUGCAGCAACGCCGCGUGCGGGAUGACGGCCUUCGGGUUGUAAACCGCUUUCGCCUGCGACGAAGCGUGAGUGACGGUAAUGGGUAAAGAAGCACCGGCUAACUACGUG
rnacentral:rRNA from 1 species